rnacentral:ncRNA from 1 species
ACCCUAAAGUGCAACUUUGGGUUAACUUCCAAUUCUCAAUUCCUUUAUUAUAUUUUAUUAUUAUUUUAAAUGCACAUACAAUUAAAACUCCAUCAUGAGUGCCAAAUAUGGUUCUAUUUAUUAUUUUAUUCACUUAAGCAAAUGCUUUUAAAUAGGGAGAUGAGUCUUCAAAUGUUAUGAGAGUUCUAAAGAGAGAGAAAAAGAAAAAUUCUAAUGCAAGAUCUUUGAAAAUUUUUACUAUAUUCUCAAAAUGAGAUUUAGGGUGUUACAAUGGCGCUGAAGCGCGCGACCCACACCCGGCCAUCUGGGCGAGCGACAUGCCCCGAUGAGUAGGAGGGCGCGGCGGCCGCCGCAAAACCCGGGGCGCGAGCCCGGGCGGAGCGGCCGUCGGUGCAGAUCAUGGUGGUAGUAGCAAAUAUUCAAAUGAGAACUUUGAAGGCCGAAGAGGAGAAAGGUUCCAUGUGAACGGCACUUGCACAUGGGUAAGCCGAUCCUAAGGGACGGGGGAAACCCGGCAGAUAGCGCGAUCACGCGUGUCACCCGAAAGGGAAUCGGGUUAAGAUUUCCCGAGCCGGGACGUGGCGGCAGACGGCAACGUUAGGAAGUCCGGAGACGCCGGCGGGGGCCUCUGUGGCGGAACCGCCCGAAUUAUUCCAACUUAAGUGCCUAAGUCCACCUUAGAGGCUAGACCACACUUAAGUAGGAAUAAAACGUCAGUCCCUCGGAUCUAGUCCGAUAAAGCCACUUACCAGGAUCGAAUACCACUAGCU